rnacentral:misc_RNA from 1 species
GAUGAAGAACGUAGUGAAAUGCGAUAAGUAAUGUGAAUUGCAGAAUUCAGUGAAUCAUCGAAUCUUUGAACGCACCUUGCGCUCCUUGGUAUUCCUAGGAGCAUGCCUGUUUGAGUGUCAUUAAUAUAUCAACCUUCUCUUUUUUGAGUUGUUUGGAUGUGGGGGUUUGCUGGCCUCUUAAAUGAUUCAGCUCCCCUGAAAUGCAUUAGCAGAACAACCUGUUCAUUGGCGUGAUAAUUAUCUAUGCUAUUGAAUGUGAGGGCAGUUCAGCUUUCUAACCGUCCUUGGACAAUUCAUCAUUAAUGUGACCUCAAAUCAGGUAGGACUACCCGCUGAACUUAAGCAUAUCAAUAAGCGGAGGA